GUGCCAGCAGCCGCGGUAAUACGAAGGGUGCUAGCGUUGUUCGGAAUCACUGGGCGUAAAGCGCGCGUAGGCGGCCAAUCAAGUCAGGGGUGAAAUCCCACAGCUUAACUGUGGAACUGCCUUUGAAACUGUAUGGCUAGAGUGUCGGAGGGGAUGGCGGAAUUGCUAAUGUAGAGGUGAAAUUCGUAGAUAUUAGCAGGAACACCGGUGGCGAAGGCGGCCAUCUGGACGACAACUGACGCUGAGGCGCGAAAGCGUGGGGAUCAAACAGGAUUAGAUACCCUGGUAGUCC
rnacentral:rRNA from 1 species